AAAAGAGAAAAGAGAAAGAGAAAAAAAAUGAUGUUUUUGUGGGAUUAAAAGCAAAGCAGCUGUGCAGAGCAAAUUGUAGUUUUGAGUUGUAUUCAGGCAGCACUGUGGCUGACAAAAUAUCUACAAGGACCCCUGGAAAUGAACAAAUUGACCCCAAAAUGGCAGCCUUAAACCAAAAUGGUAGAGUUCCAGUGAGUUUUAUAGCAUGGCUUUUUGAGACUUUUUUGUGGGUCAGCUUAUGCUGGACCUGCUUGCCGAAUUUCAUGUUGUUAAGAGAAUCUGGCUUCAGAGGGUGAAUUUUUAAGACUUUGUGAAGCAUCACUCGACUAGUUUAGGAGGUUCAAAUUCAAACAAUUGGACGAAAUCUCUGAGGGACCCUGGAAAUGAUCAACUUCACCCUGAAAUGGCUGCCUUAAACCAAAAUGGCUGACUUCAUGUGAAUCUUAUAGCAUGACUUCUUGAGACUUUUUAUGCUGGACCUACCUGCCAAAAAGGCCUUCAGAAGCAGUCGUGCCUGGGGCAAGAUACACGUGUUUGCAAAGUUUGGUGAGCAUGUUAAAACACUACAAAAAGGUAAUUUAGUUAAUAGGAAUAUGUCGCACCACCUGCAAAGUUGGACACAAAAUUGAACAGGAAGUUAGCCAUUUUGGUUUGAAACAGCCAUUUUGGGCAAUUUCCCAGGCUUGACAAAAUCCUACUUGGGAAUUCACCCAAAGCGAAGGCCCAUUAAAGGCACAGAAACAUACAAAUAUACAACUUUAACACAUUCACUGCCAUUGACUGCUUUGGAAGUCAAAUAUCCAUGUUAACUGGUAGGGCUGGCACUGAAUGAUUUUAAUGACACUUUAUCAAACCAAUUUAUUUCUAUAUGCUAUUUUAUAAUAUUUUAAAAAAACAAUUGUAUGUUUGUGAGCACAAGAAAAACAACUAUGUUUGUGAUGAGGUAAACAGUUGUAUGUUUUGUGUGUGUGUGUGUGUGUGUGUACAGUACACAGGUUGUGUGGUGCGUUGUGUUCAAUAGCUCUGGGAAAAAUACAUCACAGAGAGUGGAAAACAAAUGUAUCGCUUGGCAAGCUGAGACGCUUUUGUUUGAAAAACAACAUGAAAAAAACAUGUGGACGCACGUGAACAAAUAGCAGCCAUGUCCAACCCCAAUUCCAAUGAAGUUGGGACGUUGUGUUAAACAUCAAUAAAAUCAGAAUACAAUGAUUUGCAAAUCAUGUUCAACCUAUAUUUAAUUGAAUGCACUACAAAGACAUUUAAUGUUCAAACUGAUAAACUUUAUUGUUUUUAGCAAAUAGUCAUUAACUUCAA